CAUAAGGUGAAUGCACCAAUUUGUAAGUCGCUCUGGAUAAGAGCGUCUGCUAAAUGACUUAAAUGUAAAUGUGGAUAGAGUUUGGUGCAUUCCGGAGUUCACUUAUGGCCCCACAAAGGUAAUCUUAGGAGAAAUUAAUUUUAGCAUACUGUAAAUGCCUGUGCUUAAUGUGCAUAACAAAGCAUCAUUAUUUUCAUCAUCUUAAAAGGAUUCUGUAGAAGCAGCCUUUAUUUUCAGACUCUGCAGGCCUGCUGGGAGGAAACAUAUUACAAUAAACAGAAGAAGCUCAUGGUUCACUAUCUGCUGCUCCAGAAUCAAGGCCAGGUCCCUCCCCAUGUCACCACGGAGCACAUGAGCAACUGGCUGGUGUCUCAGGGCAAAAAAAUCCCUUAGGGAGAGGGUGUGGAAGGAAACCCCGGAGGAGGGAAACGACCUCGCUCGGCUGGCCUAGGAAGUGAACACUUGCCUAAAAAUGAUGGACUUUCUGCAAGCUCCACCGCUCCAUGCACCCCACCUCGCCAGCUGACAUGUCCACAACAUCGUGGAAAGAGCUGUGAGAAGCAUUCUGAGCGAGCAGUCCAAUGAGCCCCGUAGCAACCUGCUCAGCCCAUCUCAGGUGGCGGUGGAGGUGGUGCCCAGGCUCCUCCUGGCCCUAUGGCUUCAGCCAGAGGAAGGCCAUUCAGAGCACCCAAUCCUAAUAAGCGGGAUGGCCGUGGGCAUGGCGGCGGCCGUAGUGGAGAAGCUCUCCUGCAUGUUAAAAGACCCUUCCCCUCACAUCCCUUUCUCCCGGGCUGCUGCUUUUGACUGUGCGGUCGAUCCUCUGGAGAGUCAGUCAGUCCUUCUCCACGAAUGACCUGCAGAGCCCUUUUUAUAUGAGCUCUGUUUGUGCCUUUGUGGCGGACAAGGUUCAGAGCUGCUUCUGCAGCCACCCUACCAGUCCCCCCUGUCCUCGCGGUGGCCGUUUCCACCACACUACCAGCUGACAUCCAAGCAGACCCGGCUUCUUCCCACCUAGAGGUUGUAGACAUCACCCCUAACACAGAGGCAGACCCGGCUUCUUCCCACCUGAAUGUUGUGGACAUCACCCCUAAUACAGUGGCGGAGCCCAUCUCUUCCCUCUUGGAGGUUGUGGACGUCACACCUGAAGAAAGGAUUCUCCCGAUGGCCGUCUUCGUCUCUUUGCCAGCUGACAUCCAAGCAGAGGAUGUUGCUGUGGUCAUCCCGGAUGUCACCCCACACGUCACCAAGGACGUGACACUGGAUGUUCCAUGCAGAGCUAGGAAAGGGGCAGUCCAGCGAUUCUUUUGCAGGCUUUGGAGGGCAGUGUGCUGCGGCGCCUGCCACAAGGAAGAGGAGGAACAAUAUUAAUUAUUCAUCAGACCUUCAGAAAUGGGAUUGAACCAUAGACCAUUAAAUUAUAAAAUUAUAAUUGGACUCAAUUCUGCU